rnacentral:rRNA from 1 species
AACGAACGCUGGCGGCAUGCCUAACACAUGCAAGUCGAACGAGAUCUUCGGGUCUAGUGGCGCACGGGUGCGUAACGCGUGGGAAUCUGCCCUUUGGUUCGGAAUAACAGUUGGAAACGACUGCUAAUACCGGAUGAUGACGAAAGUCCAAAGAUUUAUCGCCAGAGGAUGAGCCCGCGUAGGAUUAGCUAGUUGGUGUGGUUAAGGCGCACAAAGGCGACGAUCCUUAGCUGGUCUGAGAGGAUGAUCAGCCACACUGGGACUGAGACACGGCCCAGACUCCUGCGGGAGGCAGCAGUGGGGAAUAUUGGACAAUGGGCGAAAGCCUGAUCCAGCAAUGCCGCGUGAGUGAUGAAGGCCUUAGGGUUGUAAAGCUCUUUUACCCGGGAUGAUAAUGACAGUACCGGGAGAAUAAGCUCCGGCUAACUCCGUGCCAGCCGACGCCGUAA